rnacentral:rRNA from 1 species
CCUACGGGGGGCAGCAGUGGGGAAUUUUCCGCAAUGGGCGAAAGCCUGACGGAGCAAUACCGCGUGAGGGAGGACGGCUUUUGGGUUGUAAACCUCUUUUAUCAGGGAAGAAUCGAUGACGGUACCUGAUGAAUCAGCAUCGGCUAACUCCGUGCCAGCAGCCGCGGUAAUACGGAGGAUGCAAGCGUUAUCCGGAAUUAUUGGGCGUAAAGCGUCCGUAGGUGGUUUAUCAAGUCUGCUGUCAAAGCGUGCGGCUUAACCGCAUAAGGGCAGUG